rnacentral:rRNA from 1 species
UACGGAAGGCAGCAGUGGGGAAUAUUGCACAAUGGGCGCAAGCCUGAUGCAGCCAUGCCGCGUGUAUGAAGAAGGCCUUCGGGUUGUAAAGUACUUUCAGCGGGGAGGAAGGCGAUGCGGUUAAUAACCGCGUCGAUUGACGUUACCCGCAGAAGAAGCACCGGCUAACUCCGUGCCAGCAGCCGCGGUAAUACGGAGGGUGCAAGCGUUAAUCGGAAUUACUGGGCGUAAAGCGCACGCAGGCGGUCUGUUAAGUCAGAUGUGAAAUCCCCGGGCUUAACCUGGGAACUGCAUUUUGAACUGGCAGGCUUGAGUCUUGUAGAGGGGGUGAAAUUCCAGGUGUAGCGGUGAAAUGCGUAGAGAUCUGGAGGAAUACCGGUGGCGAAGGCGGCCCCUGGGACAAAGCUGACGCUCAGGUGCGAAAGCGUGGGGAGCAAACAGGGAUUAGAUACC